ACAGGCCUACGGGAGGCAGCAGUGGGGAUUAUUGGGCAAUGGGCGCAAGCCUGACCCAGCAACGCCGCGUGAAGGAAGAAGGCUUUCGGGUUGUAAACUUCUUUUAUGAGGGACGAAAGAAAUGACGGUACCUCAUGAAUAAGCCACGGCUAACUACGUGCCAGCAGCCGCGGUAAUACGUAGGUGGCAAGCGUUAUCCGGAUUUACUGGGCGUAAAGGGCGUGUAGGCGGGACUGCAAGUCAGAUGUGAAAAUUAUCGGCUCAACCCAUAACAUGCAUUUGAAACU
rnacentral:rRNA from 1 species